AUGUCCCCUUAUACUAUCGCUUCUUUUCCGAGAGAACACCAAACGGCGGAUGACGCCGGUGCUGCGGAAGGGCCCGGAGGGGCCGGAGGGCGCCGCGGCGGCUUCCGCGGAGGCUUCGGCAGCGGCAUCCGGGGCCGCGGUCGCGGCCGUGGUCGGGGCAGGGGUCGAGGCCGCGGAGCUCAUGGAGGCAAGGCCGAGGACAAGGAGUGGAUCCCCGUCACCAAGCUGGGCCGCCUGGUCAAGGACAUGAAGAUCAAGUCUCUAGAGGAGAUCUAUCUUUUCUCUCUGCCUAUCAAGGAAUCUGAGAUCAUUGAUUUCUUUCUGGGAGCAUCCCUCAAGGAUGAGAUUCUGAAAAUCAUGCCUGUGCAAAAGCAGACCCGUGCUGGCCAGCGGACCAGGUUCAAGGCGUUUGUUGCCAUCGGAGAUUACAACGGACAUGUCGGCCUGGGUGUUAAGUGCUCCAAGGAGGUCGCCACUGCCAUCCGUGGGGCCAUCAUCCUAGCCAAGCUUUCCAUCGUCCCCGUGAGGCGAGGCUACUGGGGGAACAAGAUCGGCAAGCCUCACACUGUCCCAUGCAAGGUGACUGGCCGCUGUGGCUCUGUGCUGGUGCGUCUCAUCCCCGCCCCCAGAGGCACUGGCAUUGUUUCAGCCCCUGUGCCCAAGAAGCUACUGAUGAUGGCCGGUAUCGACGACUGCUACACUUCAGCCAGAGGCUGCACUGCCACGCUGGGGAACUUCGCUAAGGCUACUUUUGAUGCCAUUUCCAAGACUUACCGCUAUCUCACCCCUGACCUCUGGAAGGAGACAGUGUUCCCCAAGUCUCCAUAUCAGGAAUUCACUGAUCAUCUUGUGAAGACCCACACCAGAGUCUCUGUGCAGAGGACCCAGGCUCCAGCUGUGGCCACCACCUAGUUUUAUACAAGAAAAAUAAAGUGAACUAAAACUUGA